rnacentral:lncRNA from 1 species
UCCAAAUUGUUUUUUCUUUCUCGUUAUUAAAUAAGUGUGAUUUUUCACAUAUUUGUUUGGUUUUGUGUUAUUUGUUAUCCCGUCCUUGUGCGGUGUAUUCUGUUGUGCCGUCUCUGUGCGGUGUAUUUUGUUUUCCCGUCUUUGUGCGGUGUUCAUUUGUUUCAGGUUGAAAGAUUAGAUCCGAUCAAGUACAAAUCUAUCCAAUGUCGACUUUUGUGUCAUCAAUGUUGCAGAUCUGGGGGCAUGGACAUUCCAGACACUUCAAUAUAGUCAUAUAUGUAGGCUUAUGUAAUUUGCCGUUUUAUGCUAUUAACAUGGAUGCUGUGAGUUUGUUUGCAGAUUCAU